rnacentral:lncRNA from 1 species
AAAAAAUAAAAAAAAUAAAAAAAAUAACAAAAAACAAAAUAUAAAUUUAUAUGAAAAUAAAAUUAUUUCAAAUAUAUUAUGUAAGGAUUUAUUUAAUUAUUUAAUAAUAUUUACUCCUAUAAUUUUAAGUGGAAAUAAUAUACAAUCAAUUAAUUUUAAUAUAAUAAAUAAUAUAAUUUUAAAACUUAAAAACUUAAGAAUUAGUUUAGAAAAUAAAAAUGGAGAUAUUACUACUGAUGUUAAACAUGUAUAUCCUAACGAAAUUAUGGAUAUGGAUAUGUAUAUGCAAAAGGAGUGUUCAAAUAGUUUUACAAAAAUGCAAGAAUCAGUUGGUACAGAAAAUUUUGUUGAUUUAGACGAUAUAGUAGACAUGACCAACACAAUUGAAGCAACUGACAUAAAAGGGAUAAAUGGGAUAAACGAAAUAAACGGAGUUAAUAACAUAUUAUAUGCGUCAGAAACGAAAAAAACAAAUGCAUAUGUAGAAAAUAGUCAAGGAGAUGGUUGUUUACCCCCGGUUAACAAUAAAAACGAUCAAGUGGUUAAAGUUGAUCAACAAAACGUUGAACUGGAUGGAGCAAAUGUGAGUGUAAGUGCAAAUACAAAUACGAGUAUAUUAGAUAGUUUAAACUUUAAUAGAAAACCUGUUGACAGUAAUACUAUUAUGAGUGGUGGGGAUAAUGUAAGUGGUGUGGAUAAUGUGAGUGGUGUGGAUAAUGUGAGUGGUGUGAAUAAUGUAAGUGGUGGAAAUAAUGUAAGUGGUGGAAAUAAUGUAAGNNNNNNNNNNAAUAAUGUAAGUGGUGGAAAUAAUGUAAGUGGUGGAAAUAAUGUAAGUGGUGGAAAUAAUGUGAAUGGUGGAAAUAGUGACUAUUUUUACGAUUCCGAAAAAAUAGCUUCUGCUUUAUGUUCAACCAUAUCUAAAACUAUUAUGCAAAAAAUAAAAAAAGAAAAAACAAAACAAAAUAACUUAGCUACCUUAAAAAUGAUAAUCAAUAACUUUAUAUAUUAUAGCAUAAAAAAUGGUUCAUAUAUAAAAUUAAAUUUUAAUGCGACGGGCUUAAAUGUAGGACACAAUAAGGAGGGCUCACAAGGUGGAUGUACUAGUGGCUGUACUAAUGGAUGUACUAGUGGCUGUACUANNNNNNNNNNUGUACUAGUGGCUGUACUAGUGGCUGUACUAGUGGCUGUACUAGUGGCUGUACUAAUGGAUGUACUAAUGGAUGUACUAGUGGAUGUACUAGUGGCUGUACUAAUGGAUGUACUAAUGGAUGUACUAGUGACAGUGAUACCAUUACAUAUGCUCACAAAAAACAACUUAUGAAUAUUUUGAUCGAAUCAUUAUUAAAUUAUUGUAUAUGUAUAAACAAAUAUAUAGGAGUUGAUUCUGAUAAAAUUAGUUUAUAUUUAAAUGGUAGUACAAAUAUUACGAAUUGUAGUAAUAACAAUUUAAACAUAAAUAAACAAUCUGUUAGUGAAGAUUACACAAUAGAAAACACACAAAAAACACACACAAAAUAAUAUACUUGAUGAACACACGUUUGAUAAUCAUUUAACAAUUAAUCAAACGAAUUUGUUUGAGGAUAAUAAUAAUAAUAGUAGUAGUAAUAGUUGUAGUAAUAAUAAUAAUAAUAAUAGUAGUAAUAGUAAUAAUAGUAAUAGUUGUAGUAAUAAUUGUAGUAAUAAUUGUAGUAAUAAUUGUAGUAAUAAUUGUAGUAAUAAUGAAAUAUUUAAUAAGGAAGAAAAUAAAAAUGUAAAAAAUGAGAAAGAAAAUAAUGCAAAUAAAGUGGAUAGUAGUAUUUAUAUUAAUGAUAAACUAACUGAACGAGCAGAAUGUGACAUGCAAAAAAGUAUUAACGAAAAAGAAAGAACACCUAGUCCUAGUGCUAGUGGCAAUAACAGUAAUGGCAAUAGCAGUAGUGACACAACCAUAAAUAAAACAAAAACAAAUAAAACAAGAAUAAAUAAAACAAGAAUAAAUAAAACAAAAAUAAAUAAAACAAAAACAAAUGAGACAAAUAUAAAUAUUAUAAAUAAAGAAACAUAUAUAAGGUUUUUAAAAUUUUAUUUAUUGUAUAAUACUUCACUACUUGAAAAUCAAGAUAUAAACAUGGAUUAUUCAUAUUUGAAUGGUUUUUCAUUUAAUGGAAAUUCAAAGGUUAACUAUGUUGAAGAUAUGGGUGUAAUAAAAACUAAUAAUAACGAUAAUUUUGGUGAUAGAAGUAAUAAAUAUAAUAACUACAACAACUACAACAACUAUAACAACUAUAAAAACUAUAACAAUUACAAUAAUAAUAACAACUACAACAACUACAAUAAUAAACGAAGCUAUGAUAAUAUAUAUAAUCUAUUUAAUAAGAAUAAUAAUGCUUGUAAAUAUUGUUUAAAAGAAUAUAUAUUAAAAAAUAUCCUGACUAUGUAUAAUUUGUCAAAUAAUUAUAACACUUCCGAUAAUAAUGUUGUUAAUACCGAGAUAAAUAAUUUAAAUAAUAAUCUUUUGUAUAAUAAUGUUUAUAAUGGUAAUUUGAUGCGAAAUGAACUUCUUAUGGAAUAUACUGAUAUUGAAAAACAAGCUUGUAAUUUGCUUACAGGUACUAACAUAGUUGACACUGUUAAUUCUGAAAAUGGUCGUAAUUAUAACAACAUAAACUAUAACAGCUGUAAUUAUAACACCACUAACUAUAACAACAAUAACUAUAACAACAGUAACUAUAACAACAGUAACUAUAACAACAAUAACUAUAACAACAAUAACUAUAACAACAAUAACUAUAACAACAAUAACUAUAACAACAAUAACUAUAACAACAAUAACUAUAACAACAAUAACUAUAACACCACUAACUAUGACACCACUAACUAUAACAACAGUAACUAUAACAACAGUAAUAAUUCAUUUUACGAUGAUGUUUCUCACGGAUGUAUAAACAAACGUAACAACAUUGACGGUUUAAAUAAUUAUAAUAAUAUAAAUUGUUCAUGUAAUUUUUGUACAACUUUAUUAGCAAAAGAAAUACAAAAUGAUAUAUAUAAUAAUCUUAAUAUAAAAAAAAUAAAUACAAAUAAUUUUGCUAUCAAUAAUACAAACAUUAGUGCUGUUGGUAAUAAUAAUAUUACAAAUUUGUACGAGGGAAAAAAUGAAGAAAAAUAUGGAGAAGAAAAAAAAGAAAAAAAAAAUGAAAAAAAAGAAGAAAAAAAAGAAGAAAAAAAAGAAGAAAAAAAAGAAGAAAAAGGAGAAGAAAAGGGAGAAAAAAAUGGAGAGAAAGAUGGAGAGAAAAAUAGAGAAGAAAAAAUAUAUAAUUUAGAUAAAAGAAACAAUAAUGAUUUGACCAAUUUAGAAUUCGAACAUAACAAAAAAGAAAUUCCUUUUUGUUCUACAUCUAAUUGUCCUGGAAUAGUAUAUAAUAAUAGCGGUUUUGCUAAUUACUAUAUGGGGGUAUGUAAUAGUUGUGGUGUUAACUACAAUAUAGGUGGGUGUAUCAGUUGUGAUAAUAACGACAAUAACAUAAACAGUGACAAUAAUAUCAACAGUGAUAAUAACAUGAACACUGAUAAUAACAUCAACAAUGACAAUAACAUCAACAGUGACAAUAACAUAAACAGUGACAAUAACAUAAACAGUGACAAUAACAUAAACAAUGACAGUAAUAGAAACGACGAAAAAAAUCACAAUAAUGUAUGUGAAUUUUCACAAAUACAUAAAUUUGUUCAAAAAAAUUUUAAUUACCCAACUAACCAUAAACUAACAUUAUAUAUAUACCAUUAUUUAUAUAAGUAUUUAUUAGAACAGCACAAAAAAAUGAAUAACACAGAAAAAGAAUAUAAUCAUGUAAGAGGUCUUAUAGAGAAUGACGAUAUUGAUAUUAACACUAGAGUAUGUAAUAAUAGUGUAUGUAACAGUAGUGUUUGUAACAGUAGUGUUUGUAACAGUAGUGUUUGUAACAGUAGUGUAUGUAAUAAUAGUGUAUGUAACAGUAGAAUAUGUAACAGUAGUGUUGAUAGUAUUAGUGUUGGUGAUACACAAUGGAGUGAUACACAGUGUAAUAAUAUACAUGGAAAUGUUAAAAAUAAUAGUAAUGAUUAUAUUAAAUAUAAAAAUAUAAAUAAUGAAAAUAAAAGUUAUAUUAAUAAUGUUGAAGAGGAUAUAAUAUUUGAUUGUACUAGUAAUGAAGAUGCAACUUAUCCAAGCAUGAUGGUUGAUAAAAAUAAUAAAAUGAAUUGUUACAAAUUAAAUGAAAAUAUAUCUGAAAAUAUAAAUAACAAUAUAAAUAUAAAUAACAGUAUAAAUAUAAAUAAUAAUAAUAAUAAUAAUAUAAACACAAAUGAAGAUAAAAUAAAAAAUUAUUAUUCAUCGUUACAUGCUUUAUCUAUGAACAAUCCAUCUGCGUAUAAUCCAUCUGUGUGUAAUCCAAAUAUAUACAGUUAUGGUGGUAUUAAUUUUAAUAAUAUAUAUACUAAUAACAAUAAUAAUAACAACGGUAACAAUAAUAAUAAUAACAAUGACAACAAUAAUAAUAAUAACAACAGCAAUAACAAUAAUAAUAAUGAUGCUUUAACAAAUGGUACUAGUAAUAAUAUUCUUUGUUGUUAUAAUAAAUAUAACAUAAAAGAUAAUGUUAGUAUUAGUAGUAGUCGUAGUAGUAGUCAUAAUAAUACACGUUUAAACAAACCUACAAUCACAUACUGUAAUUUAAAUGAUUAUAAUAAUGAUAACUCAAAUGGGGUAGAUGAACUUGGUCAAUUUUUAUUAGUUGAUAGAAGAAAGAAAAAAGGAAAAAGCAAAUCUAGCAAUGGAGGUACGAGAUUAAAUAGAAAUCUGAAAACUAAACAGAGUUUAAAAUGUUUAAAUAAUAGCAGUGGUAAUAACAAUAGCAAUAAUAAUAAUAAUAGUAGUGGUAAUAAUAGUAGUGGUAAUAAUAGUAAUAAUAGUAAUAAUAAUAAUAAUAGUAGUAAUAAUAAUAAUAGUAAUAAUAAUAAUAAUAAUAAUAGUAGUAAUAAUAAUAAUAGUAAUAAUAAUAAUAAUAAUAAUAGUAGUAAUAAUAGGUAUGAAGUGUGUAAAUACAAGUGUAAUGGGCAAUGUCAUGAUGAGAAAUGCUUACAUGAUGAAAUUAUGCUACAUAAUUACUCAACGAAUAAAAACAAAAACAAAAACAGACACAAAAACAAAAAUAAGGAAAACAUAGAGGAUGUACUUAAAAAUUAUAAUACACUAAAAUAUGACAAUAAUUUUAUAAAUAAAAAUAAAUGCACUAAUUUGAUUACAAAUUGUGAAUAUAAAGAUAAAAAUGGAAUAGAAAAAGAACAGUAUGAUAUUAAUAACGACUUAUGUAAUUUUAAUGGUUCAUAUAAUAAUAAUAAUAAUUAUAACAAUAAUUAUAACAGUAAUUAUAAUAGUGGUAACUUUAGUAGGUAUGAUAAUAAUAACUUCAACAGUAACUAUACAGAAACAGAUUGUUUAAAUUUAAAAAAAAUAUUAGGAGGAUUAAUUUUUAAUGGUGUACAUUAUAGCAACAUAUUAAAUAAUCACAGAACAGUUCUUAAAAAUAAUACAACUAUAGAUAAUAAUAAUAAUAACAAUAAUAAUAAUAAUAAUAACAAUAAUAAUAAUAAUAAUAAUAAUAAUAACAAUAAUAAUAAUAAUAAAAUAAAAAUGGAAAUAGAAAAUGGAAUGGGAACUGGGAUGACAAAUGGAAUGGGAACUGGGAUGACAAAUGGAAUAGGAACUGGAAUGACAAAUGAGGAUAUUUGUUUAAAUAAAAAUAACUUUAAAAGAAUAAGAAUGAAAGAAAACAUAUUAGAAAGUAAUAAUAGAGAUGGUAAAUGUUUUUUAAAUAAUGUAUCCAUGCCAAUGUCAUUACAUGUACCAGUUCCUGUGCCUGUACCUGUACCAGUACCUGUUACUUUACCUGUAGAAUAUAGAAGAGGAAGAGAGAUAAAAACAAUUAAUAAUAACUUUUUAAAUUUUCAUUCUAUCGAUAAUAGGAUUGAUAAGAAUGGUAUGUUAGUAGGUUGUGAGAAUGUAGAUGAAAAAAGUGCUACUACAGGUAGUUUUGCGACAGAAAGUACAAAAGCUGAUAGUUUAACUGCGAUUACAAAUAUUAAUACCGAUGAUGUUUAUAAAAAUAUAAAUAAUAAAAAUGGUAUAAAUAAUAAAAAUAAUAUAAAUAAUAAAAAUAGUUUUUAUAUAACUAAUAAUAUUGGUAAUAAUUUAAAUACAAAUGUAGGUACAAAUGUAGAUACAAAUGUAGAUACAAAUGUAGGUACAAAUGUAGGUACAAAUGUAGGUAACAAUGAUACCAAAGAAGUUACAAAAAAAAACACGGAUACAUCUAAAGUUAGUAAACUAGAUGUAGAAAAUAAAAACGGAAUCAAUAAAAACGGAAUCAAUAAAAAUGGA